rnacentral:lncRNA from 1 species
UAAGCUAAUAACGGAUCCCUCGCCUCUCAAAAAAUGAGCCGCAAUAGAUAAAGAAAACAAAGAGGGAAAAAGGCAAAGUAGUUUCUUUCUUUAGUUGGAGGUCAACAUAAAACCAUUGUCCAAUUUCCUAAACAAAAAGAAGCAGUAGCUGGGCAAAAAUGAUUUGAGCUCAAAGAUAGACAAAAAAUGGGAGAUUUAUUUUGUUAAUAGAAAUCGGCCGAAAUUCCCCCAUUUUUGAACCUAACGCCUCCUGGUUCUUCUUCUUCAACCAUUGACGAUCUUUACCGUAUCACCGCUGACUCACGUAGAAGGAAGGUCCUGCUAGUUGAGCAAAAGAAUAGAAAUAAUACUUUGAGGAUAAGUCUUGGUUGCUUAGAUCUGGCAGCAAGGCUGUCUGUUCCGAGGUUGGAGAUUUCCGGCGAGGCUUUCCGUUUGAGGACGAGUCGAGGUCAGCGAUCUUGGUUGGAACUUCAUUGUUGGCGUCAGUUUGCAUAGCUGAAGCUCAUAAUUUGUACGCAACAAAAAGGUUAGAAAUCCUUCAAUUGAAAUGUCCACUCCUAAAUCGUUCUUGGUUCAAUGUUAUAUGCAUAUGGGAGUUUGUCUCUAUUUGUGUGUAUUUCUGUAUGUAUAUAUAAUUUUGAUUCAAAGUUAUGGUAUUUCUGUUGAAAGUUUGAUUUUUGUAAUAAAGUUGAAUUUGGGUUUUAUGUGUUUGUUGUUUGGUUGUUAUAUUAUUGUUAUGGGAUUCUGGGUUUUCACUUCAAAUAGCAAUUCAGUUAUGUUUAAUCAUUUGAGAACCAGUUGUUCGUUAAAGUAGCAAUGUUGGGCGUUAAUUCUUGAUGAUUAAUAAUAUGUUAUAAUGGACGUCCUUUUGCUGCCCUUAUAAAAUUCACUGUGUCUACAAUAUAACCUUAUAACAGUACAUCUCCUCUAUCCAUUUCGACAAUAAUGUUUGAUAAUUCAAUAAUUUUUCACAUAGGAAUGCCAACAAAGUUUGAUAUUUACACAUAGUUAAAAAUUUUCCUUACAUGAUAUUGAUAUAUAGUUACUAUCUCUGUUCUGUUAGUACUUCAAAUAUCCUAACAUAAGUUCAUUUUAUUCUAGUGCCCAAAAUGCACAAGCACCUCAGACUCACUGUUAGUGCAAAAAUGCUUUAGGCGUGAUUGAUAAAUAAAUUAUUGUGGCUAUGAGUACAGUUCUCGUGUCAUAGUCAUGACACGUAAUCUCCAAUUCGAGUGUGCAUUUCACGUGACUCGACCCUAACUUCAAACAAUAAUAAAAUAAAUAUAUCGCAAAUCGCGAGUGCAUUUCAUGUAGCUUAGUUUGCAAUGUGUUACAAAACAGCAAGUGUACGACAAUCGUAACUUGUUCAAAAAAUAAUUUCAUAAAUCCUAAAAAGCGGUUUAAAUAAUUAAAAGUGGUUUAAAAGUUUAAAAAUGCACAAUAGGUUUAAAACAUGUAAUCAAUCAGAUAAUUAGGCCAAUAUUAAUAGUUGAGCGACCAUGCUAAAACCACGGAAUCCGGGAAUGCCUAACACUUUCUCCCGGGUUAACAGAAUUCCUUACUCGGAUUUUUGUGUUCGCAGACCAUAAAUAAAAGUCAACUUCCUCGAUUCGGGAUUUUAAACCGGUGACUUGGGACACCAUAAAUUAUCCCAAGUGACGACUCUAAAUAAAUAUUAAUAAUUCCGUUUCGAUUAUUGUCACUUUAAUUGGAAAAACUCCCUUAUAUCCGCUCUUUUGGGGUAGAAAAAAGAGGUGUGACAAUGACUUGCAUGUAUGAGCGAGUUCAGUUUCCGGAUGAUUCGGGAUCAAUUUGGAAGAAUGAUUCCUGUUUUAGAAGCUUAAGCGGUAAGAGUUGACUGGAGUUUUGACUUUUAUAUAGACGACUCCAAAAUAGCGUUUUGAUGAUUCCAAUAGCUUCGUAUGAUAAUUUUGAACUUAGGCAUGCGUCUGGAUUUGGAUUCGGAGGUCCGUAGGAUAAUUUGAGGCAUUUUGGCGAAAAAUUGAAAAGUUGAAGUUUUGGAAAGUUUAGAGGUUUGACCGGGAGUUAACUUUGUUAAUAUCGGGCUCGGAUUGCGAUUUCGAGAGUUGGAUUAGCUCCAUUAAGUCAUUUGGGACUUGCAUGCAAAAUUUGAUGUCAUUCCGAGUUGAUUUGAUAUGUUUCAGCACGAGUCUUAGAAGUUGGAAGAUUUGGAAAUUCAUAAAUUUGAUUCAUGGUGAGAUUCGUAGAUUCGACAUUGUUUGAUGUGGUUUGAGGCCUCGAGCAGGUCCGCGUUGUGUUAUGAAACUUGUUGGCAUGUUUCGACGAGGUCCCGAGGGCCUCGGGUGUGUUCUGGAUGGGUUAAGGGCCAUUUCUUCAUGCUUUAGAGUUGCUGAUUCUGUCAUCUGGUUUUCUUCAUCGCGUUCGCAUCAAUGCCUUCGCUUUCGCGUAGUGUUAUUUGGAGACAGUCAAUAUUGUUCUUCACGUUCACGUAGUGUUAUUUGGAGGCAGGCAGUAUUGUUCUUUGCAUUCGCGACUAGGAGCCCGCGAUCUUAUAGCUUGGAAGAUUGUUGCCAUUGCGUUCGCAUUCCCCCUUCCGCAUUCGCAUAGUGCUCUUUAUUUAGGGGCAGUGAUGUUCCUUCAUUGCGAUCUCACCCCUUCACUCGCGAUUGCGACGUGUAGCCUGGGCACCUGGUAUUUUUUUCACUUCCGCGAUCGCAUGAGUACAUUCGCGAUCACGUAGUAUAUUUUUGGGGCAGUAGUUAUUUUUUCCGCGAUCGUGAUGUGCAAAUACCUGGGCAUCAGAAUAUAUUUUCGAAAAUCGUGGGUUUUGUCCAUUUUUCAUCUUUGAGCGAUUUUUGAGGGGUUCUUAAUGUGGUUGUUUGGAGUCAGUGAUCUUUACCCGGUUUUGAUAUUGAUUUCAUGGGUUUAUCUUUGUUUUCAUCAUUAAAUUAGAGAAUUAAGUGGGAAACUUGGGAAAAAUUUGUAAAAUCUUUCAAAAGUGUAAAAUGAUGAUUUGAAGGACGAAUUGAUAUCGGAAUUUGAUAAUUUUAGUAUGGUUGAACUCGCAUGGGAAUGGGUGUUCGGGUUUUGUGAAAUUUGUCGGGUUCCGAGGUACGGGUUCGGGGGUUGACUUUUUAGUUUUAAUUAAAGAUCGAAGCUUUAUUAUCCGAAAUUGUCUUCUAUGAGUUUUAUUUGUGAUUUGAAGUUAGUUUUGCAAGAUUUGAGCCGUCCGGAGGUUGUUUCACUCGAGUAAGUCAUUUUAAAAUAACAGUCUAGCUUCUUUGAGGUCAGUAUCUUGCCUAAUUAUGUAUGGGAAAACUACCCCUUCGGAGUCAUUUGUGCUAAUUGUGUCAUCUGAAGGCCAUGUACGCAAGGUGACGAGUACGUGCUGAGGCUUAUUUUUGGAAAUUUGACCCAUUAGGGCUCUUAGGUUCUUAUGUUCAUUGGAUAUGAAGUUGUUUGUCAUGUUAAAUUCCCCAUUUACUAAAUUCACCCUUACGUUUCUUAAUUGGAAUUAAUUGCUUAAUGUUCUUCCCUUAUUGCCGAUUAAAAUCUUAUGUGCCUUACCUGAAGUUGUUGCCUCUUUUAUUGUCAUGCUAUCCUUUUUGUAAUUGCUUAACCAUAAUUGAAAUCAUUAUUAUCUCUUAUGUAAUUGCUUAGCCUUUAUUGAAGUUCGUUAUCCCUUUCACUGUUGACGUAUUCUUAUUUGGGGUCAUAUAGUCACGCUAUCUCCCUUGUUGUCGAAUUGUACUUUCGUGGAAUCAUUGUUACACAUUACCUCUCCUUGGUCGAACUAUUCUUGUUGAGACUAUCAUUUCCCUAUUGUGACUUUCUUUGUGAGUUCGUUCUUCCGUUUCUUUGUGUUCUGAAGUUCUUGUGUUAAUUUACUUGUCAUAUUCUCGUGUUAUUGUUGUUGUUGCUGUUGUAUUCAGUGUUGUUGAGCUGAGGGCUAUGCGUGAUUGUGAUAUUGAAACUGUUUUGAGAAAAUGUUGUGGCAUAUGAGCACAUAUUGUGAAAGUUAUUUUGUUGAGUUGUUAUGUUUUGGCACACAUGUUAUUGUUGAGAGGAUUGCUAUGAUGUUUGCACGAGGUUUCUGUUGUGCUAUUGUCAUGAUGUUUGCACAAGGUUUAUGCCGUGCUACUGUUAUUAUUGAUACGCAUGCGGUAGUAUAAGGUCAGGGUGUUGAAACGCAUGCGGUGAGAUAAGGUGGGCUUGAUACGAGUGGCUAGUGGGGGAACUACUAGAAGCCAUGCAGUGUGAUAAGGUGAGCCAAAAUGUGGGUGCUAUUUCGGGAAAAAUAAUUUUCAAAACUAAAUGUAAAGCCUCCUGUGGUGAUAUAAGGAAAGACUGUGAUUUAUUUUGUGAUUUGAGACUAUGAGGCGGUACCUCGGUAGUGGCUCUUGUUGAAAUUUCCCUUUUUUUUGUACUUGUCUUUGAUUGUUGUUUCCUUAUCAUACUAUUAAUUGUCUUUCCCCGUGUAGCACAAUUUGCAUAGUUCUGUGUAGUUAAUCUUGUUGUACUAUUUGUGAUUUCCAUGUCAUGGCUGUCUUUAUUACAUUAUACAUUUUGUGGUGAUCGUUUCUUAUGUGCCAUUCAUUGUCUCUACUCUUACUUGUUGACUUGAAUUGUGGUAGAACACUUGCACAAGCAUACACAUAGAUAAAUCACCCAUAUCGGUCUAAGAAGAUGAAAUUUGAUGUUUUGACCAUUUACAUGUACCCCCGUGUACUUGCCUUAUAUGUGAAUCUUACCCUGUUGGCACGUGAGUUGUCCGUGCAGUCUUGAGUCAUUAUUAUUGUUGGCAUGUGAGUGGUCCGUAUGGAUAUUAGAUAUCGUCACUCCUUGAGCAGUGCUGCUGCGAAUUGUAAGGUGGGCACAAGAUGCCAAGUGAUUAGGGUUCACGAAUUGGGACCCGUGAUUUGUGAUUUUGAGGUUUGGUACCUUGUGGAAAUUCUUAGAUAAACCUGGUGUGAAAGCGGCCGUUCCUAUUAAGUUGUCACUUGUUUUUCUUUAUUUGGUUUCAUCGGAUUUAACUGUGUUCAGCUCACUCUACAAUGUUGUACCUAUUUGUUUCUUGUUGUUAAUUGUUGCUUUUAGCUUCCUAUUACAAGCAUUGAAUUAUUAUUGCCAUCAUUCCUAGCUUUAUAGAGACGUUGCUCCCUGUUAGUUCUACAUUUAUACUUGUUCAGGUUGUUUAGUCUAAUGAAUGUCUUGACUGUUUUUCGUCACUAUUCCACCGAGGAUAGUCUUAAUACUUACUGGGUACUGCUGUGGUGUACUCAUACUACGCUUGUGACGGACCAAUUUCUCCUAUGGGCCGUGAUGGUGCCCAACGUUAUCGCUAGGCAAGCCAACAAUGAAUUAACUAUGUCAUCCUUUGUUUUAAAGAUUUAAAAUAGUUGAUUUUUAAGUUGUGCAUAAAUAAAAAGUAAGAUUUUUAAUAAAAAAUGAUAGAUCAGUUUUAAAAGCAAGUGAAACAAGUUAAAUAACCAAGAGCCUUUAAGUGACUACUAGCAUAAAUCACCAGGACCUGGUGUCACAAGUGUAAGGGCUACUAGUAGAAUAUACAAAAGAAUACUACUUUACUGUCUGAAAUAAAAUAGACAGAAAAAUAAGCAAAAGGAAGACUCUGGCUGAUGCAGAACGGGAUCGGAAGGCAGCUCACUGUAUAGUUUCGUAGAAGUGAUCAAGUGUGCGCGUCAGACUGAUAUCCAAAUACACCUGCCUCAAAUUCUGCACGUUAAGUGCAGAAGUGUAGCGUAAGUACAUAAACAAUAUGUACCCAGUAAGUAUCCAGUCUAACCUCAAAGAAGUAGUGAUGAGGGGUUGACUUUGACACUUACAAUGGGCUAAUAAUAAAAUUUUAAAAAUUAUAGCUAAGCAUGGAUUACUUGAAUAUAGCUGAAAACUCCAUAACAGGAAUAAUAAACAAUCCUCUCGGUAAUAGUAAAUUCCAAGUUUAUUUCCAUCAUUUAACAAUUUAUAUCUCAAGCUAAUGAAGCAAUAUCAAUUAUAAAUAGUUCCAAAGAUUCAUUAUACGCAAUUAUGUCGAGGUCGUACGGCCCAAUCCAACAUAAAGAUAUUUAAAUUGUGCACUAUCGAGGGUCAAGCGGCACGAACCAUAGAUGCAUCUAUCUGUUACCGAGGCGUUCGACCUGCUCCACAAGAAGAGAAAAAUACAUUAAAACAACCAACUCAAGACUUAUUAAGGGGCAUAUAUUCAAAGAGAUACCAAAUUCUCAUUAACGAUUCAAUAAAUGAAGUUUAACCUUUUACAAUUCCUUUAUCAAGUUCCAACAUGAUUUAAGUAAUUAAAUUAACAAUUAGGGUGCAAACAUCGCAAGCAUAACAUGGUUUGGCUCCUAGACACCCGGACAUGAGCAUAAUUAGUAGCUAUAUAUGGACUCUCGCCACCUCGUGCGUACGUAGCCCCCCUCCCCCACAAAUAGAAGCACAUAUUAAUUCAAUUCAUCUAUGGGGUUAAUUCCCUGUUACAAGGUUCGAAAAGAGACUUACCUCGUCUCAAAGCCUACUUUCUGGUCCAAGAUUGUGCCUAAACCCUCAAUUCGGUGCCGAACAAUUCAAAACUAAUCAAAUGGUAUAUAAAUUAAUUAUUACAUGUUCAAAAGUUCGUAUUCCAACUAUUAAAGUGAUUACCCAACCCUAAAUAUAGGAUUCCUAAAAUUCACCCUCGGUUUCACGUGCCCGGAUUCCGAAAUUUUUUGAAGAAAGUUGUUACCCAUAACCUCAUGAACUCAAAUAUAUGAGUUUCACUAAAUUCCAUAACAAAUUUCGUGGUUAAAUCUUAUUUUUAUCAAAACCCUGGGUAUUCUAUCUAACCCUUAAAUUUUGAUAAAUUUACAUGUUAAAAUCUACCCAAAAUCUAUGUUAUAAACCAAUAUUAUGUAGAAGUUACUUACCUCAAAAUGCUAGGUGAAAACCCCUCUCAAGAAGCUCCAAAAUCACUCAAGAAGUGAGAGAAAUGGGUUAGAAAUGGCUUAAGUCCCGUAUUAAAUGAACCAUUCUGCCCCAGCGAUUUCUGCACAUGCGGUGCUUGGUCCGCUUCUACGGAUGGGAUCCUGCUUCUGCGGUCCCGAUUCUGCGGCAAGCGUGUCGCUUUUGCGGCUGGGUUCGCACCUACGCCCUUCCUCAUCGCACCUGUGCGUUCGCGGGUGCGCACAAAAUUCCGAACCUGCAGUCCCUGACCAAACGCUCCCAAACCGCUUUUGCGGCCCAACCCUCGCACCUACGGGCUCGCACCUGUGGCCCUAAGCUCGCAGGUGCAGGCAUACCAGAACUGGUGCACCAGCAGCCCUCUUGAAUUUCAAACUCAAUUUCCACACCAUCCGAACAACAUCUGUGGCAGACUCGCUCGCACCCUCGUAACGCACAUAACAACAUCAAAACUAAGAAUCACACCCCAAACCAAUUGAAAUCAAGAAUAUGAACUUUAAGUUCUUCAAUUUACUCCCAAUGCGCCAAAAUGUACUUAAAUUACUCAGAAUGACACCAAAUUUUGCGUGCAAGUCUUAAAUCACCAUAAGGAACUGUUCCGGGUCUCGGAAUCCCAUUUGGACCUCGAUAUCACCAAUACCUAUUCCAAACCAAAUUUAAACAACUUUAAAACCUUCAAAGAACCAACUUUCACUAUUAGGCGCCGAGACACUCCCGGGUUAUCCAAAACCCGAUCUGAGCAUACGCCCAAGUCGGAAAUCAUCAUACGAAUCUAUUGGAACCAUCAAAUCUCGAUUCCAAGGCCGUUUACUCAAAAUGUUGGCCGAAGUCAAACUUAGCCUUUUAAGGCCAAACAAUGAAACCAAAUAUUUUGAUUUUAACCCAAACUCUUCCAAAUCCCGAAUUAACCAUCCCUGCAAGUCAUAAAACAGUAAAAACAUGUACGAUAAGUCUUAUUUAUGGGAACAGGGUUCUAGAAGGCAAAACAACUGGUUAGGUCGUUACAUUCUCCACCUCUUAAACAAACGUCUGUCCUCGAACGGGUCUAGAAUCAUACGUGGAGUGCUGAAUAAGUGUGGAUGUCUGCUCCGCAUAUACUCCUCGGACUCCUAGGUCGCCUCCUCGACUGGUUGGCCCCUCCACUGAACAUUCACUGUAAAAAUCCUCUUGGAUCUCAACUGGCGAACCUGCCUAUCAACAAUGGCAACUGGCUCUUCCUCAUAACCCAGGCUCUCAUCUAACUGAAUCGUGCUGAUGUCUAACACAUGUGACAAGUAGGGCAUGAUACCUCCAGAGCAUAAACACAUGGAAAAUUGGAUGAACUCCCGAUAGACUAGGAGGUAAAGAAAGCUCAUAAGCAACCUCCCCAACUUGUCUCAACACCUCAAAUGGGCCUAUAAACCUUGGGCUCAACUUGCCCUUCUUCCCGAACCUCAUGACCCCCUUCAUCAGUGAGACUUUCAAUAGAACCGUCUCGCCCACCAUAAGUGAUAAAUCACAUGCCUUCUGAUCCGUGUAACUCUUCUGUCUGGACUGUGUUGUGCGAAGUCGCUAUUGAAUCAACUUUACCUUUCCAAGGCAUCCUUCACCAAAUCAGUACCAUAUAACUUAGCCUCGCGGGGAUCAAACUAACCGAUGGGAGAACAACAUCAUCGACCAUAUAAAGCCUCAAAUGGAGCCAUCUCAAUGCUGGACUGAUAACUGUUCUUGUAAGCAAACUCGUCCAAGAGCAAGAAUCGAUCCCACUGCCCUCCAAAGUCAAUCACACAUGCUCUGAGCAUAUCCCCCAAGAUCUGAACUAUCUGCUCUGACUGCCCGUCGUUCUAUGGAUGAAAUGCUAUGCUGAGCUCUACACGGAUCCCCAACUCACUCUGUACUGCUUUAUAGAAAUGCAAAGUACACUGAGGGCCUCUAUCUGAUAUGAUAGAAACAUGCACACCAUGCAACCGAACUAUCUCCUGAAUAUAAAUCUGGGCCAACCUCUCCGAAGUAUAAGUAGUUGCAACUGGAAUGAAGUGUGCUGACUUGGUCAAGCUGUCAACAAUGACCCAAACUGCAUCAAACUUCCACAAGGUCCACGUCAACCCAACUACGAAGUCCAUAGUAAUACUCUCCCAUUUCCACUUCGGUAUAGUCAUCUGCUAGAGUAGGCCACCUGGCCUCUGGUGCUCAUACUUAACCUGUUGGCAAUUUAGGCACCUAGCUACAUACUCAACUAUGUCUUUCUAUAUCCGCCGCCACCAAUAAUGCUGCCUAAGGUCGCGAUACAUCUUUGUAGCACCUGGAUGAAUAGAAUACCUAGAACAAUGUACCUCUUCUAGAAUCCUCUCCCUCAAGCCAUUGACAUUAGGAACACAUAGACGACCAUAGAGUCGCAGAACACCAUCCUCGCCGAUAGUAACCUCCUUGGCACCACUCUGUAGUACCGUCUCUGAGAACCAUCAAGUGCGGAUCAUCAAAUUGUCGAGCCCUGAUCUACUCCCAUAGUGAAGACUGGGCAACAACGCAUGCAAGAACUCGGAUGGGCUGUGAAAUAUCCAACCUCACAAGUCUGUUAGCCAAGGACUGAAUUUCCAAAGCUAGUGGUCUCUCCUCUGCUGAAAUGAAUGCCAAACUACCUAUACUCUCUGCCUUUCUGCUCAAGACAUCCGCAACUACAUUCCCCUUGCCCGAAUGGUAAAGAAUGGUGAUACCAUAAUCCUUUAGUAACUCAAUCUAUCUAUGCUGCCUCAAAUUGAGAUCCCUUUGCUUGAACAGAUGCUGCAAGAUGCAAUGAUCAGUAUAAACCUCACAGGACACCCCAUAAAGAUAAUGCCUCCAGCAUUUUAAAGAGCAUGAACAAUCGCAAUCCAACUCCAAAUCGUGUACAUGGUGAUUUUUCUCAUGGAUCCUCAGCCAGCGUGAAACAUAUGCAAUAACUCGCCCCUCUUGCAUUAAUACACAACCCAAACCGAUGCGUGAAGCGUCACAAUACACAGUAUACAUCCUCGAACCAGAAGGCAACACUAGAACUGGUGUUGUAGUCAAAGCUGUCUUGAGCUUCUAAAAGGUUGCCUCACAAUCAUCGGACCAAUGAAAUGGAGCACCCUUCUGGGUUAAUCUAGUCAAAGGUGCUGCAAUAUAUGAAAAGCCCUCCACAAAUUGGCGAUAAUAACUUGCUAACCCCAAGAAGCUCCUGAUCUCCGUUGUCGAAGUGGGACGAGGCCAACUUUGAACUGCCUCAAUCUUCUUGGGAUCCACCUUAAUGCCUUCGUCUGAUACAACAUGUCCCAAGAAUGCUACAGAAUCUAGCCAAAACUCACACUUGGAGAACUUAGCAUAUAGCUUCUGUUCUAGUAAUAUCUGAAGUACCACUCUCAAAUGUUGCUCGUGCUCCUCCAUGCUGCGCGAGUAGAUCAAAAUGUCAUUAAUGAAGACAAUAGCAAACGAAUCAAAGUAUGUCCUGAACACCCUGUUCAUCAAGUCCAUAAACGCCACUGGGGCACUAGUCAAGCCGAAGGAUAUCACUAGAAACUCAUAAUGGCCAUAUUUAGUAUGGAAAGUAGUCUUCGGGACAUCCGAGUCCCGAAUCUUCAACUAAUGGUACCCCGAUCUCAAGUCAAUAUUGGAGAACACCCUAGCACCAUGCAGUUGGUCAAACAAAUCAUCAAACGUGGCAACGAGUGCUUGUUUUUAAUGGUAACUUUGUUCAAUUGGCGGUAAUCAAUGCACAUCCGCAUAGUCCCAUCUUUCUUCUUUACAAAUAACACUGGUGCACCCCAACAUGAUACACUUGGUCUGACGAACCCCUUUGUUAGAAACUAAUCAAGUUGUUCCUUCAACUCAUUCAAUUCUUUCAGAGCCAUAAGGUAUAGUAGGAUAGCCAUAGGCUAGAUACCUAGAGCCAAGUCAAUACAGAAUUCGAUAUCACGAUUUGGUGGCAUGCCUAGAAGGUUAGAAGGAAACAUAUCGGAGAACUCCCGGACUACUGGUACUGAAUUAAUCACCGGAGCCUAGCUCUGCGGUAGUAUCCCGAACAUAAGCUAAAUAAGCCAAACAACCCUUCUCGACCAUAUGUCGAGCCUUCAGAAAAGAGAUAACCCGACUAGAUGCACUGAUAGAUGAACCCUUCCACUCCAAUUUAGGCACCUUUGGCAUCGCCAAGGUAACAGUCUUGGCAUGUCAAUCAAGGAUGGCGUGAUAUGGGGAUAGCCAGUCCAUCUAGGAUGACCUCAAAAUCGGCUAUAUCAAGCAACAGAAGGUCCUCUCUAGUCUUGUAUCCACAGAAUGUGACCACACAGGACCAAUAAAUCCGAUCCACAAAAUAGAAUCGCCCAUUGGAAUGGACACAUAAACAGAAGUACCCUAGGACUCACGAGGAAUAUCCAGGAAAUGAGCAAACAAAGAUCACAUAGAUGAAUAGGUAGAUCCUAGAUCAAAUAGUAUCGAAGCAUCCCUACCAUAGACAGAAGUAAUACCUGUGAUCACGGCAUCUGAGGCCACUGCAUCUGGUCUGGCCGGAAAAGCAUAGAACCUAGCUGGGGCACCGACUGGCUAUCCCCCACCUGACUGGGUUGUAGCUGGCUGGCCUCCACCUGCCUAGCCUCCACCUCUAGGAUGGCCCCAACCCGUUUGUCCUACGCCUAUGGGCGGCCGGACAGCUGAUGUUGUAGUCAUAGACUGCUGGCCCUGCUGCACUGCCUUGCUUCGAAGCCUGAGGUAGAAUCUCUGCAUAUAAUUGAAAUCUCUGCACUCGAAACAACCUCACGGUACAGUGAUCUGCUGGCCUGAAGUCUGACCCUGAUUGCCUGAGCACCCACUGGAAAAACCCUGAAUGGCUGGUGGGCGGUAAGAACUCUCUAGCAUGGCACUGAAAUAGGGUCGCACUAGAGCACCACGAGGAGGCGGCGGUGCUGGAUAUGUGGGCCUGCUAGGCUGACCACUCCCAAACUGACCUCUGCCCCCAGCCGGGGCAUCUUUAAACUCUCUAGAAUAACAGACCCGAUUGUUCCACUGUAUCUGCUCUCUACCUCUCUGACCGUAACCCUCAAUUCUCUGAGCUAUCUCCACUACUAGCUGAUAAGAAGUCUUCGUUGCAACCUCCCGGGCUAUAGUGGCCUGAAUACCUGAGUGCAACUCAGCAACAAACCUCCGCACGCUCUUUGUGUUCGUAAGAAGUAUCAUAAGUGCAUGGCAAGACAACUUAGAGAACCUCGCCUCAUAAACGGUCACUAACAUCUGACCCUACUAGAGCUGCUCAGACUGGAAUCGUAACUUUUCCCUCUGGGAGGGUGGAAUAUACUUAUCCAAGAAAAGGCAUGUAAACUGAUCCCAAGCCAUGAGAGGAGAACCUGCUGGUCUGCCGAGAACAUGAGACUGCCACUACCUACGGGCCCUGCCCUCCAGCUGGAAAGUAGUGAAAUCCAUCCUAUGGGACUCCAAUAUCCUCAUGUUAUGCAGUAUGUCCCUGCACCGAUCAAUGAAGUCCUAGGGAUCCUCAUGUCGCUCACCCCCGUAGAUAGGAAGGUGUAGCCUAGUCCAUAUGUCCAAUAGCUUCUGCAGCUCGUCGGCCACAACUAGUCUGGCUCAGGUAUGGAUGCUGCUACUAGCUGGGCCCUGCGUACGGGUAGUGCGCCCAAGGUCUGAUAUACAACAGCUACAUGCCCAGGAGCCUGAGCAAUAUGAGUCUGUGCUCCCCCUCCCGCCUAAGAUGUGGCUGGGUCUGCUGGAAAUAAACCAACUUGGGUCAUAGAGUCCAUGAACUGUAGCAUACGACCCAUAACCUCCUAAAAUCCCGGUGCUAACAUGAAAUCAACCUGGACUGGCUCUGUUGUAGGCACCUCGCUCUGCUCCUCAAUAAUGGGAUCCACCACUAGAUCCGCUAGUGGUACAACUGGGGCAAUGCUGGGACUUCCUCGUUCCCUACCUCAGGCUGGUGCCCUCCCCCGGCCUCUGCCUCGGCCUCUAGCAACAAGAGGAGCAGCCCCUCCUAGGUAUGGAACGUCUGUCGUGCACGUUCUCACCAUCAGUGAAAGAAUAAGAGAAAGAAACUUAGUACACCAUCAACUGCACGAUAGGAGAUGAAAAAGAGUAGUUUCCUAACACCCUAUAGCCUCUCGAAGAUAAGUACGGACGUCUCUGCACCGAUCCGCAAGACUCUAUUAGGCCUGCCCAUAACUUGUGAAACCUAUGUGAACCUAGUGCUAUGAUACCAUGUUUUCACGACCCAAUUUCUCCUAUGGGUCGUGAUGGCGCCAAACGUUAUCGCUAGGCAAGCAAACAAUGAACUAACUCUGUGAUCCUUUGUUUUAAAGAUUUAAAAUAGUUGAUUUUUAAGUUGUGCAUAAAUAAAAAGUAAGAUUUUUAAUAAAAAAAAUGAUAGAUAAAGUUUUAAAAGCAACUGAAACAAGUUAAAUAACCCAAAACUGUUAAGUGUCUACUAGCAUAAAUCACCAGGACCUGGUGUCACAAGUGUAUGGGCUACUAGUAGAAUAUAAAAAAGAAUACUACUCUACUGUCUAAAAUGAAAUAGAUAGAAAAAUAAGCAAAAGGAAGACUCCGGCUGCUGCAGAACAGGCUCGAAAGGCAGCUCACUGUGUAGUCUCGUAGUAGUGACCAAGUGUGCGCGCCAGAAUGAUAUCCAAAUGUAUUUGUCUCAGAUCCUGCAUUUUAAGUGUAGAAGUGUAGCGUGAGUACAUAAACAACAUGUACCCAGUAAGUAACCAGUCUAACCUCAAAGAAGUAGUGACGAGGGGUCAAAUUUGACACUUACUAUGGGCUAAAAAUAAAAUGUCAAAAAUUAUAGCUAAGCAUGGAUUACAUGAAUAUAGCUGAAAACUCCAUAACAGGAAAUAAUAAACAAUCCUCUCGCUAAUAGUAAUCCCAAGUUUAUUUCCAUCAUUUAACAAUUUAUAUCUCAAGCCAAUGAAGCAAUAUCAAUUAUAAAUAGUUCCAAAGAUUCAUUAUAUGCAAUUAUGCCGAGGUCGUAUGGCCCGAUCCAAUAUAAAGAUAUUUAAAGUGUGCACUGCCGAGGGUCGAACAGCACGAACCACAGAUGCAUCUAUCUGCUACCGAGGCGUUCGACCCGAUCCACAAGAAGAGAAAAAUACAUUAAAAUAACCAACUCAAGAUUUAUUAAGGGGCAUAUAUUCAAAGAGAUACCAAAUUAUCAUUAAUGGUCCAGUAAAUGAAGUUUAACCUUUAACAAUUCCUUUAUCAAGUUCCAACAUGAUUUAAGCAAAUAAAUUAACAAGUAGGGUGCAAACAUCGCAAGUAUAACAUGAUUUGGAUUCUAGAAUACUUGGAAAUGAGCAUAAUUAGUAGCUACAUAUGGACUCUCGUCACCUCGUGUGUGUUUCAGAUGCUCAACGGGUCAUUUUUGGACUUAGAGAAUUGCAGAAAAAUGUUGCAGCAGUCAAUUCUGGUUUCCUUAUUUGCAUUCGCGAGUAGGGUCUCGCGUUCGCGAAGAGGAGCUGGGGCUGGUGAGGAGUUAACACUUCGCGUUCGCGAGGCUGUGGGACUUUGUGCCUACACGUUCGCGAAGGCAGUCUCGCGUUCGCGUAGAGGAAGAGAAAUGAUCAUCGCGUUCGUGGCUCAGGCAUCACGUUUGCGAAGAGGGAGACUGGCCAGUGAACUUUAGUGCAUCGCGUUCGCUACCGUGGCCUCGCGUUCGUGAAGAAGAACGCGCCUGGGCAGAAUGUUUUCGUUCAAAAUCGAGGGUUUAGCGAUUUUUAUCAAAACUUAAGCUUGGGAGCUCGGAUUUGAGCGAGAUUUUGAGAGAUUUUCCGAGAUAUCGAUUGGGUAAUGAUUCUUAACUCCUUUUUGCUUGUAACCCAUUAAUCUAAAAAUGAAUUCAACCUUUAAUUUUGGAAUUUGUAUGAAAAUUGGGGAAAAGUUCUUAGACCAAGAAUUUGACUUUUGAUUGGGGAUUUUACAUUGGAUUAGGAUAAUUUUGGUAUGGUUAGACUCGUGAGAAUGUGAGGAUUCUGGAAAUGUAAAUUUUACCCGAUUUCAAGACACGGGCCUAAGGGGCGUUUUGGUCAUUUUACCUAAUUGCGCGUAUUAGCUUAGAAUUUAAUUGUAAAAUCAGUCAAUUGAAGUGUUAUUUACAUUAUGAAAUUGAAUUGAAUAGAUUCGGGCCAUUUGGAGUCGAGUACUCGUGGCAGGAGCAUGAUUUUGGAUUGAUUUUGAGCCGGUUCGAGGUAAGUGGCUUGUCUAACCUUGUGUGGGGGACCUUCCCCUUAAGAUUGUUAUAUUUGGUAAUUGAAAUGCCUUGUACUUAAGGUGACGAGUGCGUACUUGUGCUAAUUAUUGGAAAUCCGAUUUUCAUUAAGUAAUCACUAGUAUAUUUCCUUUCCUGUUUUUAUUACUUGCACUAUUAAGCCUGUUGUUAGCUUUGGAAAGCAUGUCUAAGUGACUUAAUUGUUUUAUUUGCUCAACCUGCCUUACCUGAAUUUUGUGCAGCAUGCUACGUCAAAAUCACUUGUUGCCUUAAUAUGGAAUUUUUCCAUUUCUGUAUAUUUUCCUGUUACUGCUGUGUAUUUAUUUUGGGACUAUGAAUGUGGGAUUCCGGUAGCUCCCUCUUGUCUGUUUAUUUUGGGACUACGGAUGUGGGAUUCCGGUAGCUCCCCCUUGUCUGUUUAUUUUGGGACUACGGAUGUGGGAUUCCGGUAGACCCCCCUGCACGGUUAUAUGGAACUACGGGAAUGUACUCGGUAGAUUCCCCCAAUACUAGGUAUUUAUAUUUGAGACUACAGAACGGGAUUCUAGUAGAUCCUCGCACACUAUGAGUUGGACUACGGGACGGGAUCCUGGGAGAUCCAUUGGAUAUGUACAUAUGGAACUACAAGACGGUAUCCUGGGAGAUCCCAUGUUGUUAUUUUGGUGCUAAGUCGCAUUUCUUUCCGUGUUUUGCUUGUUCCUGCAAUAGUUGUUGCCCUUUUUAUAUCAUGUGUUACUUUUACUGCUGUAUUUAUUUAUACUGUUCUUUUCUACACUGUCAAACUUUAUAUUUUAUUUAACCUCAGUAGGGCCCCGACUUUCCUCGUUAAUACCCGACCGAGGUUAGGCUUGGCACUUACUAAGUAUCGCUGUGGUGUACUAAUGCCCCUUCUGCGCAUGUUUUUCAUUUGCAGAUCCAGGUACUGCGACUCAGUCCUAUCACCCUUGAGGCGAGGCGACUGCUCUAACGAUUUCGAGGUAUAUCUGCCGCGUCCAUAGACCAAGGAGUCCCUUUCUAUUCUAGAUUUUAAACAUUUGCCCUUCUGUAAUUCUUUCCCUUG